AGGGGCAUCAGGGAUGUAGCAAUACAUUUGCUGGCGACCGGCGCACGGGUGAGUAACGCGUAUGCAACCUGCCUAUCAGAGGAGGAUAACCCGGCGAAAGUCGGACUAAUACUCCAUAAAACAGGGGUUCCGCAUGGGACUAUUUGUUAAAGAUUAAUCGCUGAUAGAUGGGCAUGCGUUCCAUUAGCUGGUUGGUGAGGUAACGGCUCACCAAGGCAACGAUGGAUAGGGGUUCUGAGAGGAAGGUCCCCCACACUGGUACUGAGACACGGACCAGACUCCUACGGGAGGCAGCAGUGAGGAAUAUUGGUCAAUGGGCGAGAGCCUGAACCAGCCAAGUCGCGUGAAGGAUGAAGGAUCUAUGGUUUGUAAACUUCUUUUAUACGGGAAUAAAGUUCAGGACGUGUCCUGUUUUGUAUGUACCGUUAUGAAUAAGCAUCGGCUAACUCCGUGCCAGCAGCCGCGGUAAUACGGAGGAUGCGAGCGUUAUCCGGAUUUAUUGGGUUUAAAGGGUGCGUAGGUGGUAGAUUAAGUCAGCGGUGAAAGUUUGUCGCUCAACGAUAAAAUUGCCGUUGAUACUGGUUUACUUGAGUAUAGUUGAAGUAGGCGGAAUGCGUGGUGUAGCGGUGAAAUGCAUAGAUAUCACGCAGAACUCCGAUUGCGAAGGCAGCUUACUAAGUUAUAACUGACACUGAAGCACGAAAGCGUGGGUAUCAAACAGGAUUAGAUACCCUGGUAGUCCACGCAGUAAACGAUGAUUACUAGCUGUUUGCGAUAUACAGUAAGUGGCACAGCGAAAGCGUUAAGUAAUCCACCUGGGG
rnacentral:rRNA from 1 species